GACGAACGCUGGCGGCGUGCUUAACACAUGCAAGUCGAACGGAAAGGCCCUGCUUUUGUGGGGUGCUCGAGUGGCGAACGGGUGAGUAACACGUGAGUAACCUGCCCUUGACUUUGGGAUAACUUCAGGAAACUGGGGCUAAUACCGGAUAGGAGCUCCUGCUGCAUGGUGGUGGUUGGAAAGUUUCGGCGGUUGGGGAUGGACUCGCGGCUUAUCAGCUUGUUGGUGGGGUAGUGGCUUACCAAGGCUUUGACGGGUAGCCGGCCUGAGAGGGUGACCGGCCACAUUGGGACUGAGAUACGGCCCAGAAUCCUACGGGAGGCAGCAGUGGGGAAUAUUGCACAAUGGGCGGAAGCCUGAUGCAGCAACGCCGCGUGCGGGAUGACGGCCUUCGGGUUGUAAACCGCUUUCGCCUGUGACGAAGCGUGAGUGACGGUAAUGGGUAAAGAAGCACCGGCUAACUACGUG
rnacentral:rRNA from 1 species